AUGAAGAAAAAGAUCCAGCAGUUUGUGCAGUCUUGUCUUAUUUGUCAACAAGCAAAACCUGAAAGAGUGGCUUAUCCGGGGCUUUUGUCUCCUUUACCUGUUCCUGCCAGAGCUUGGGAAACUGUGACUAUGGAUUUUAUCUCAGGGUUGCCUUCUUCUGAUCAUUAUGACUGCAUUAUGGUGGUUAUUGACAAGUUCACAAAAUAUGGACAUUUUAUCCCUGUCAAACAUCCAUAUACUGCCCAGAAGAUUUCUGGUCUAUUCUUGGACAAUAUCUACAAACUUCAUGGUAUGCCUCGAUAUAUUGUGUCAGAUAGAGAUCAUGUGUUCACAAGAAUUUUUUGGCAGGCCAUGGUGAGGAGGACAAGAGCUGUACUUAACAUGAGCACGACAUACCACCCUGAAACUGAUGGGCAGACUGAGCAUCUCAAUCAACAGGUGGAGUGUUUUUUGAGAUGUUUCAACAGAGCUCACCCGAAGAAAUGGGCUCGGUGGCUCUCCCUUUGUGAAUUCUGGUACAAUACUAAUUGGCAUUCAGCACUCGAUAAAUCUCCCUUUGAGGUUCUUUAUGGCCAUAGUCCUCGGCACUUCAGGAUUUCAGCUUCAGAUGCAGUUGAUCCAAUUGAUUUGCAGCAAUGGUUGGAUGCCAGAGAGGUUGUUCAACAGUCAGUGCGCCAGCAUCUGUUACAUGUUCAACAGUGA
rnacentral:rRNA from 1 species